GGGUGGUUCGUCUCAGCCAAUGGCAAGCAGCCCUGGGAAAUCUUGUUGAAAUUCAUAUGAAGAGAGUUUUUUUUUUUGGUUUUAAAGAAAGGUCUUUUGUUCCACCACAGCCGAAUUCCGGCAGAGACCUGGAGCAAGAGGAACUUCACGAGUAUUAAACCCUGAGGAUAUCAUUGUUCAUAUAAAGCUGAGCAGCGUAUUGGUAGCUGAAAUUCCCGGCAGACAAGUCCAUGGCCGCCGUCAACUCGCCAGCCUCCCUCCUCGCCAGAAAUCACUUUUACCGCAGCAUCAACAGCUCACCGGACAUAAAAGCUGUUUACGGCCACUCUGAUUGGUUGAUGCAAUCAAAACAGAGGCAGUUGACUGUAUGGGUCACAACGUCCAUAGACCAAGGUACAGACACUUAAUAAAUAAUCACCCAGAUAGACUCAGUUAUUCACAAACACUGACACGCCAUAAUUUCCUGACAUAACCGUACACACCGUCACCACUCGGAAUAUGUU
rnacentral:lncRNA from 1 species